rnacentral:tRNA from 1 species
GCCUGGGUGGCUCAGUCGGUUGAGCGUCUGACUUCAGCUCAGGUCACGAUCUCGCGGUCCGUGAGUUCGAGCCCCGCGUCGGGCU